rnacentral:rRNA from 1 species
CGAGCACGCGCGUGUGGCAUAUCAAUAAGCGGAGGAAAAGAAACUAACAAGGAUUCCCUUAGUAACGGCGAGUGAAGCGGGAAGAGCUCAAAUUUGAAAUCUUCAAGGUUCUACCUUGACGAAUUGUAGUUUAUAGAAGUGUUUUCUGUUAGUAGAGUGGCAAAAGUUCUUUGGAAUAGGACAUCAUAGAGGGUGAGAAUCCCGUAUUUGGUCAUUCUUCCUAGCUUUGUGAUACACUUUCAACGAGUCGGAUUGUUUGGGAAUGCAGUCCAAAAUGGGUGGUAAAUUUCAUCUAAAGCUAAAUAUUGGCGAGAGACCGAUAGCGAACAAGUACCGUGAGGGAAAGAUGAAAAGAACUUUGAAAAGAGAGUUAAACAGUACGUGAAAUUGUCAAAAGGGAAGCGUUUGACACCAGUGUUGUUUUUCCGAAAAUCAAUUACGAAUGUUUUGUUUUUGAGGAGUUAUGACUUCAUCGGCUUGCUUCUUUCUUUACGAAACUUUCUUAAUGCACUUUUCGGUUAACAAGUCAACAUCAAUUUCUUUUGUUGUAAAAGGGUAUGAGGAAGGUGGCUUUCUUUUCGGAGAAAGUGUUUAUAGCCUUGUACCUCUGCAAUCGGAGAGAUUGAGGUCUGCAGCGUAGAUCCUUCGGGGUUAGAUACAUUUGUGCUAAGUUAUAGCUUUUCAUAGACAACUUGUUGACUAUGUUAAGUCUUGUAGCUUACUCGCUUAUGCUAUUUUACCUACGCUUAGGAUGUUGAGCGCAUGUCUCUCUCU